CUGAAGGGGCUGCGGCGGCCAUCUUGUGGCAGGUGGCACUGCUGCAGGCUAGGGCUGAGGAGCCGCCGGCCAGGCCCGGCCCCGUCCCACCUCGCCGGGAAAUUAAGUGUGCCUAAGGCCUCUCUGCGCUGUGGGCUCUGCUCCGACUCCACGUUCUUCGCUUAAGAGAAGUGGAAAGUUUUCUAUCUCACUACUGGAUCCACCUAGAGCCCGGUCCUGGAGGUAGCCUUGUGAAGAGUAAUCUGACUUCAAAACCCAGGCAUCAGUAUUUGGAAGAACUGCUGAGAAAAAGGCUGUGUGGGGAACUUGUCAUGGAAUACUGAAAAACGAGUGAGAUGAUUGUUGCUGAGACUAAAAGUACUGCACCUAUUGAGUUCUGAUCCAAGUGUGUUUCACCCUGAAGAACACCUGAAAUACCAUGGAAGUUUCUACCAGUCCAACAUCGUGACCAAUCCUUCUGAAGGAACCAACCCUUCGUUACAGUGAACAAGACCAUCUUAGGUCUUCAAAGACACAAGAGACAAAAGCCAGUACCUAUGAAGCUUUGAAAACGUGUGAAAUGCCUGGAAAUGUCCUGUGUGGAUUGUUUUACGAGACCAACUGUGUACAGUCAGGUAAAGAGAGGGAUCACACAAAUGUGUUUGUGGGUCAGCUGGGCAUGAACUGACACUGUUGACAGCAAAAGCAAGUAACUGCAUCUGCAAAUUAAAAGACAUAGUUUGUUAACAAAAACUUCACUGCAAACUAAAUGCUCUUUUAUGUCCUUUUGAAGCAUUCGGGUGUUUUCUGACAACGCUGAACUGGAUUCAGCUUUCAGCUCUGAGAAGAGAAUAUGGAUGUGUACACAAGGCAGCCUCCUCUCUCAGCACGGUCCCUAGUAUAGAGCAAAAGGUUGUUAACUGGUUCCCACAAUGGACGCUUGAGGAAGUGCUCCAUCCAGAUAAUAGUUUUUUCAGUUGUGCUACUACAGUAGUAGUAUUUCCAGUCUUACACAGGGCAACAAACUUUUAUUUCUGAG